GACGAACGCUGGCGGCGUGCUUAACACAUGCAAGUCGAACGGAAAGGCCCUGCUUUUGUGGGGUGCUCGAGUGGCGAACGGGUGAGUAACACGUGAGUAACCUGCCCUUGACUUUGGGAUAACUUCAGGAAGCUGGGGCUAAUACCGGAUAGGAGCUCCUGCUGCAUGGUGGGGGUUGGAAAGUUUCGGCGGUUGGGGAUGGACUCGCGGCUUAUCAGCUUGUUGGUGGGGUAGUGGCUUACCAAGGCUUUGACGGGUAGCCGGCCUGAGAGGGUGACCGGCGACAUUGGGACUGAGAUACGGCCCAGACUCCUACGGGAGGCAGCAGUGGGGAAUAUUGCACAAUGGGCGGAAGCCUGAUGCAGCAACGCCGCGUGCGGGAUGACGGCCUUCGGGUUGUAAACCGCUUUCGCCUGUGACGAAGCGUGAGUGACGGUAAUGGGUAAAGAAGCACCGGCUAACUACGUG
rnacentral:rRNA from 1 species